CUUGGGUAAUGAGCAGCUGCUGAGAAUUAGACUUGCCUGCCUUGAUCAAGACUGUGGUGAGAGCCUCUGCUAUCUCAUGAUUCCUCUUGCAAAAUAUUAAAAUGAAGCUGUUGCUGAAGAGUUGAAUAUAAAGUAGAAUUUCCAUAUAUACUCAGGUAUCAAGAAGCAUCUGAAUUAUCACCCAAAAUAAAGAACGAUU